AUUGAACGCUGGCGGCAGGCCUAACACAUGCAAGUCGAGCGAGCGGCGGACGGGUGAGUAAUGUCUGGGGAACUGCCUGAUGGAGGGGGAUAACUACUGGAAACGGUAGCUAAUACCGCAUACUAUCAGAUGUGCCCAGAUGGGAUUAGCUAGUAGGUGGGGUAACGGCUCACCUAGGCGACGAUCCCUAGCUGGUCUGAGAGGAUGAUCAGCCACACUGGAACUGAGACACGGUCCAGACUCCUACGGGAGGCAGCAGUGGGGAAUAUUGCACAAUGGGCGCAAGCCUGAUGCAGCCAUGCCGCGUGUGUGAAGAAGGCCUUCGGGUUGUAAAGCACUUUCAGCGGGGAGGCGUUACCCGCAGAAGAAGCACCGGCUAACUCCGUGCCAGCAGCCGCGGUAAUAC
rnacentral:rRNA from 1 species